UACGAAGGGGGCUAGCGUUGUUCGGAAUUACUGGGCGUAAAGCGCGCGCAGGCGGUUCUCCAAGUCAGUGGUGAAAGCCCGGAGCUCAACUCCGGAACUGCCAUUGAAACUGUUGAACUUGAGGACGAGAGAGGUGAGUGGAAUUCCCAGUGUAGAGGUGAAAUUCGUAGAUAUUGGGAAGAACACCAGUGGCGAAGGCGGCUCACUGGCUCGUAUCUGACGCUCAGGCGCGAUAGCGUGGGGAGCAAACAGG
rnacentral:rRNA from 1 species